AGUGCUGAGGGAACAACAUCUUCAACAUCCCGCCGGAGCCUUCGGAACGUCCCCCCGACCCCUGGCACUCGUUUGCCACAGUCACCGGGAGCCUACCGCCCUGCGGGAGCAGCGUGCUUCCCCAGGCCUCAAUCCAGACGCUGGCCCAGGGCCCCGUGGCUCCAGCGUUCCCGCUCCACCACCAAAUCGAGGCGGAGAUGAACAGGGAGCCCAGCCAAUGGAGUAUGGAUACAGACGUCGACCCUGAGACAGGGGAGCGAGCGUAACCCGUGACAAUCGAGCAGUAAAGGGGAAGCCAUUUUCAGUUCCAGUGGCCAUGAUGGCAGGAGGAGUUAGCAACGCCAGCAAACAAACUACAAGCGGCCUCUCGCUCCCUCUUUUCGCGUCUCGUUCCUUAAGCUGCUGCUCAUUUACUGUGUAAAUAUAAAGAUCUAUCCCACGGUUUCCACCCACACAUAAGAAAAUACAGCCUGUGUCCACUCAGGCCUGGGCAACCAUAUUGCACUGCCCAUGUGCCGUUGCUAUGACAGCCAAGAUGACCUGGGCUCGGAUCUGAACCACAAGGAGGUCAGUGUUGACAUUUCCAGCGUCUUAUCCUUAUGUAGAUGUACUUUCGUCUUUCUAAAGCUUUCUGCUGAAAAGGAAAAUCCCUUUUCUUUCUCCUUGGAAGAUGUGGUGGUUAUCGUAGCAACAACUCCCAGGUCACUAGGCCUGGAGCCACGAGGAAGUUAGGCCCGAUUAUUCUAAACACAACAAGCAGACGUGCUCUUUCACACAAUCUAACAAAUUUCUUUCCCAUCAAAUCGUCUGUGGUAUUUUUUCAAUCUAUUAACUACCAGCAGUAAAUUUUUGGUGUUUUCCAAUUAAUUACUUUAUAUUGACAUUAAGGACCCAUCACCUUAUUUUUUGUAAUUCAUAUUUUGAAAACUUUAACUUUUUCUAAUCAAGCUGUUGAGAGAUGUUAUUACACAUUUUUGGAUGAGGGGGGGUGUGAACUCAGGCCCCUCAAUCCCGCAGGAGUGCCCCCCCUCUACAGUAUUUCAAGUUUUUUUUAAUUUCAGCUACAUUAGGCUUGCUUCCUUGAUUUUUGUUUAAAAAAAAACCCAACACGUUCAGAGAUGCUAUUAUACAUUUCUGCAGCAGGGUGGUUCUUCAAGCCGGACCUCCUGGUCCAGAGGAGGCGGCACUACACUACACAAGAGGGCCCUUUUAUAAUAUUUCCUUUUCUUCCUAAUCAACCUCUUCAGAAACAUUGUUACACAUCCCUGGAGCAGGUGGGACUUGAACCGAGAUCUCCCUUCCCCAAGGCAGGGACAUUGCACCACAAGGAGGACCCUUGUUUUUUUAUUUAACCUAUUUUUCGAAAAUCAAGCUCUUCGGUAACGUUGGGCUCGAUUUCUCCCUUCCGUCCUCAGCUCGACAAGUCGACCGGACGCCCCUGUCCCCCGCCCGGCAGUCACGCACAAUCCAGGCCCCAGGAUGGAGGACUAGACAGCUUGGCAGUUACCUCCAAAACACCCCACCCCCAACCUCUGAUGUUCCAACGUCAAAGCUUUGAACCAAAAGGCUUCAAGGGGGUCAAUUCCACGUGAAACUGGGUCACAAAGAGCGGUGGGGUAUUGGAAAGAUGGGGGCGAGGGGGUCUAGUCGCCAAUAGCGUGCCCCCACCCCAUCCCCUUACCUUGGCAGCUAACAGAACAACAUGGUCACCACUGGGGGGCAAAAAAAAAAAAUCAACAUUCCCAUUGCUCUGCAUCUCAACUCAUUUCUGGGGAGGGUGGCUUAAAAAGUCAGUCAUAGGGGAGGGGUUGGAUUUCAAGGUUAGCUUCCCCUCCUUCAGAUUUAAAAAAAAAGGGGGGAAAACCAAGACUCCUUGGGGCACAUUUUAAGCAGUCCUGCUCCACCCCCCCCUCAACAUUUCUAAGCCAGAUUGUUAUGAUAAUUUUUUUUAAAAAAACUAUUAUAUACGUAUGCACGGGCACGCAGGGUGUUAAGUUUGUAUUUGCUAAGGUAAUAAAAUGCUCAGAACCCAAA